GUACUACGGCCAACCAAGAACCACCGUCGGCAAUGAAAGAAGAUAGUGGGGGUGGGGGGGGGGGGAGGGGGGGGGGGGGAGCUUCUGCCGCCACUGCUGAUACGCGUAGACGCCCAUGCCGGGUAUAUUGUGCUUGGGCGGGGAGCUUUGCCGCGUUUCCGUGGGGCUGUCGGUUACCUUCGCGGAAGGGGAGAACCACUGGGUGGCCGGUGAUUUCUGACCUGAAUCAUAGUGUCACCACGGGACCGCCUUACGUCGUGGGCGGCAUCACCAGCUCUGUCGCAUCAAGUAAGAACACCCUUAUCUGCUUUGGGUUGAUUCUCGUGUCGUGUAGGACUAGUCGAAUCCGUGAACGAGGCAUUGCGGUGCCGGGUUGGCCAACGCCAGCCAUGGCCUCCACCGUGCAGCGAGCGGCACCGCCGUGGUCAGCGUCGGGGGAGGACGUUGAUGUUUCUGUCUGGUAAUCCUGGCCUUUGAACAGGUCGAGCAGAGUAGAAUCUUGGAGGGAUCUCGGCCUCGGAUCAAGAUCUGUCGGUCACUCAUACCGGUUCGCGAUCUAUUAUACCCCGUAGAUCAGUGAUACAUCGGUCAUAAUCACACCCACCUGGCCGCCGUGGUAGAUUUUCUAAAGAGCCCCUGAAAUUCUUAUAAAUCAAACCGCGGUCCAGGCCAUAGAAAGAAUCAUUACAGUCAGGCCCAGGAUUUUGCACGAUUGACCCUGGAGAAUUCCUAAAUAAUGCAUGAAGUCUAACUAAAUCUCAAAUUUAAUAAAUUAAUACCAAAAAUGGUUUUCUUAUAUAAAAAUAAUCCCAGAAUAUUGUUUAAAUCAUAAGUAAUUCAUUUUAAUUCCUUUUGAUCCAUUCCAGUUACAUUAUAUUCACAUUAAUAUUGUUUAUCAUCUAGUAACUCUGUUUGUCAUGAAACAUAGAUUAAAAUUAUGCACUUAAUUUAUUCUAUAUUAAACACUUAAAACUUCAGAAAAUCAUAACUCUUUAACCGUAACUCUGAAUUUAGUGAUUCUCGAACCUGCGAUCUCAUUGCGAUGCGUAGAAUAUUAUCAUGAAUUAUGUUCUAAUGUUUGGUGUGAUAUUAAUUUCUCCUGUACCAUGUUUGUUUGUAUUGUUGCAAGUCGACAGGCAAGCAAUUGAGGACCUAGGUGCUCAGCCGGUGAAAAGUGCUGAGCAGGAGCUCGUUGAAGGCAAAUUGUGCCCUUGAUCACUUUUAUUUACCCAAUACUGUUCCUGUUAAUCAUUAUGACCUACAUAGGUUAAUUUUGAUGGGACCCAAUAGGUCACCCCAGUUUGGCUAUUCAACCACAAAUUUGUUUUAGGGUAGCUGAAGCCCAGCUUUAAAGAAGCUUCGGUAGACCACGACUUCAUUUUCUUCGGGUACAGGAACAGUCUUCUCCCCGUUGUCAGCUCUCACAAUAGACAUAUCCCGAAAAUAUCUUCCUCUCAUAUUAUCAAGAUGACUCUGCUUAAUAGUUGAUUUUCCAAAGACUGAAUGGCUUCGGCGCCAGGGCCGAUCUUCGGAGUCUUCGCCCCCACUUUCUGCGUCAUAGCUGUCACUGUCAUUAGUAUCUUCAGAUAGGCCUUCUAGAAUUUCUCUUGUAAUUUUCUCCGUAUUUGUUUUAGCAAUUGACUCAACGAAUCCAGCGGUUUUUUCCUUAAGAAGCUUCUCCUCCUCGCUCAGCUUCGUUUCAGCAACAACUUUCUUAUCUUGAGACAUCUCUUCGAAAAUGGUGAAAAUAUGCUCUUAAAGCCGAAGCUUAGAAAAUCUAAAAAGCUAAGCAAGCGUUGGUAGGCAAGAGCUAAAAAUUGAGCAAGCAGAGCAGAUGGCAAAAAGCGUGCCAAAUGAGUUCGUGGUGUGCCCUUAUUUAUACGCCUAGCGCGUUGCAAGUUGGAGGGCCCCACUUGUCAUUAAUUGUUGCUAUUCUAGCAAAG
rnacentral:lncRNA from 1 species